rnacentral:rRNA from 1 species
AACGAACGCUGGCGGCAUGCCUAACACAUGCAAGUCGAACGAGACCUUCGGGUCUAGUGGCGCACGGGUGCGUAACGCGUGGGAACCUGCCCUUAGGUUCGGAAUAACUCCCCGAAAGGGGUGCUAAUACCGGAUAAUGUCUUCGGACCAAAGAUUUAUCGCCUUUGGAUGGGCCCGCGUUGGAUUAGCUAGUUGGUAGGGUAAAAGCCUACCAAGGCGACGAUCCAUAGCUGGUCUGAGAGGAUGAUCAGCCACACUGGGACUGAGACACGGCCCAGACUCAUACGGGAGGCAGCAGUGGAGAAUAUUGGACAAUGGGCGAAAGCCUGAUCCAGCAAUGCCGCGUGAGUGAUGAAGGCCUUAGGGUUGUAAAGCUCUUUUACCCGGGAUGAUAAUGACAGUACCGGGAGAAUAAGCUCCGGCUAACUCCGU